rnacentral:rRNA from 1 species
AUGAGAAAGUAGUUUUAUCAGGUAAAGCGAAUGAUUAGAGGCUUUGGGGAAGAAACUUCCUCGACCUAUUCUCAAACUUUUAAAAUAGGUAAAGAUUUUGAAGGAUACUUAAGUGAUCUUUCAAUCUCUUGAAUAUAAAGUUCUUAGUGGGCCAUUUUUGGUAAGCAGAACUGGCGAUGUGGGAUGAACCGAACGUUAGUUAAAGUGCCAAAUAAUACGCUCAUGAGAUACCAUAAAAGGUGUUGGUUCAUUUUGACAGCAGGACGGUGGCCAUGGAAGUCGGAACCCGCUAAGGAGUGUGUAACAACUCACCUGCCGAAUGAACUAGCCCUGAAAAUGGAUGGCGCUUAAGCGUAUAACUUAUACUUAACCCUUACUUGAAUUAUAAUAGCGAGUAAGGAGUAGGAGGGCG